rnacentral:rRNA from 1 species
AGAGUUUGAUCCUGGCUCAGGAUGAACUCUGGCGGCAUGCCUAAUACAUGCAAGUCGAACGAGAGACCUUCGGGUCUCUAGUGGCGAACGGGUGAGUAACACGUAGGGAACCUGCCCGCGCACCGGGAAUACGCUCUGGAAACGGAGAACAAAUCCCGAUGUACAGGAAGGAGGCAUCUUCUUUCUGUGAAACAUCCUUUAGGGGAUGGGGCGCGGAUGGACCUGCGGUGCAUUAGUUGGUUGGCGGGGUAAAGGCCCACCAAGACGAUGAUGCAUAGCCGGCCUGAGAGGGCGGACGGCCACAUUGGGACUGAGACACGGCCCAGACUCCUGCGGGAGGCAGCAGUAGGGAAUUUUCGUCAAUGGGCGCAAGCCUGAACGAGCGAUGCCGCGUGAGUGAAGAAGGCCUUCGGGUCGUAAAGCUCUGUUGCGGGGGAAAAAAGGCAGCAUCAGGAAAUGGGUGCUGACUGAUGGUGCCCCGCCAGAAAGUCACGGCUAACUACGUGCCAGCAGCCGCGGUAAUACGUAGGUGGCGAGCGUUAUCCGGAAUGAUUGGGCGUAAAGGGUGCGCAGGCGGUCCUGCAAGUCUGGAGUGAAACGCAUGAGCUCAACUCAUGCAUGGCUUUGGAAACUGGAGGACUGGAGAGCAGGAGAGGGCGGUGGAACUCCAUAUGUAGCGGUAAAAUGCGUAGAUAUAUGGAAGAACACCAGUGGCGAAGGCGGCCGCCUGGCCUGUUGCUGACGCUGAGGCACGAAAGCGUGGGGAGCAAAUAGGAUUAGAUACCCUAGUAGUCCACGCCGUAAACGAUGAGGACCAAGUGUUGGGGGUGAAACCUCAGUGCUGAAGUUAACGCAGUGAGUCCUCCGCCUGGGGAGUAUGCACGCAAGUGUGAAACUCAAAGGAAUUGACGGGGGCCCGCACAAGCGGUGGAGUAUGUGGUUUAAUUCGAAGCAACGCGAAGAACCUUGCCAAGUCUUGACAUCCCGGUGACCAGAGGGUAAUGCCUCUUUCUCUUCGGAGCACUGGAGACAGGUGGUGCAUGGUUGUCGUCAGCUCGUGUCGUGAGAUGUUGGGUUAAGUCCCGCAACGAGCGCAACCCUUAUUGUUAGUUGCUACGCAAGAGCACUCUAGCGAGACUGCCGUUGACAAAACGGAGGAAGGUGGGGACGACGUCAAAUCAUCAUGCCCCUUACGUCCUGGGCUUCACACGUAAUACAAUGGCGGCCAACAGAGGGAUGCAAAACCGCGAGGUGGAGCGAACCCCUAAAAGCCGUCCCAGUUCAGAUUGCAGUCUGCAACUCGACUGCAUGAAGUCGGAAUCGCUAGUAAUCGCGGAUCAGCAUGCCGCGGUGAAUACGUUCCCGGGCCUUGCACUCACCGCCCGUCA